CUAGGGGCAAAUCAGGUAUUGUGACGGGAUCUCAGCUAGGCCCGAACUUUAGUUGGCCUAAAAUCUACACAUGGCAUAUACAAGUACACAUAGCUAGAAUACGGUCAUCAAUGUACUGAGCAUGUGCCAGAUUUGAAAAACCACAUUCUACUCUCCUAGUGCCAUACUGCCUACCCAUAUUAGGUAAUGCUGUAAAUACUGUUUGUUGAUUGGUGUAAGAGUACAGAUGGGGGAAGAAUGGCUGAUAAAAAGCCUGUACUCC